AAUGAUAAAGAACAUAACGUUAUUAACUUACUAAAAAAUACAAGACAGGAAGGUCAAAAUGCAUGGUUAAGUGAAAAAAAUUGUUCCUACCCACAAGAAAUUACAUUACAAAUAAAAGAAGAUAAAAUAAAAUACCUAGAAAUUUUGUCACAUGAAUAUAACAUAAGUAAAAAAAUUGAAAUAUUUGUGUCAAAUAACAAUAAAGACUAUGUAAAGGCCGGUUUUUUUAGGUUCAAUGAUAACAUUUCAACAAAAUAUUGUGCUAGAGAACUUAAAUAUGUUUAUUUACCAUGUACCAUAAAAUGUACAUUUAUCAAAUUAAAACUACACGGCCCAUAUCACAAUUCUUUAAAUAUUCACUCACAAGUUGGGUUGUAUUAUAUUAACAUAAUUCCUGAAGAAAUGUCAUUAAAUACUAUUUCUGAAGUAAAUCCGGCCCUUCUUAAACUAAAUUCCUCAAAAGAUAAUGAUAAAAAACAACAUGAUGUUCAUUUAAAAAAAAGUAAAAAAACAGGGUUAAAAGAAAAACUUAAUUUAAACCCCAAUAUUCCUACUCAUAACAUUAAUGAAAGUUUAUUUGAAAAAGAAGAGCGUGGUGAAAGUUUAAAAGAAUUAUAUAUAAUUUCGGAUAAGAAUAAAAUUGAUUCUUUAUAUAAAAAAUUGGAAAAAAAAAUAAAAUGUUUUGAAAAAAUAAAAGGUGAAUGUGUAGCCAAAGAAGAAUUUGAUAUGGCAAGUAAAAUAAAAAAAAUCAUAAAUAUUUUUAUUUUUUUAAAAAGUGUAAUCACUUUUUUAAAAACCAAAAAAAAAAAAUAUGUUAGAGAAGAAAAUUAUGGAAAGGCUAAAAGGUUAAAAGAAAAAGAAAUAAAAUUAAAAAUUAUAAUUAAAAAUAUAGACGAAUUAAAAAUUGUUGAAAGCUGUUCCAUAAAGUGGUAUUAUGAGUGGCUAAUUUUAUAUUAUAAAGAGCUUGAAUUUUAUGAAAAAGAAUUAAAUAACAUACUACCUAAUGAAUAUAUAAAAAUGAUAAAAAAAAAUACCGGAAUUUUAGAUCGGUAUAAUAAUGAAAAUGGUGAUAAUGACAUAGAUUUAAAUAAUAUUCUAUUACACAUAUUUAGUGAUAAUGAAAAAAAAAGAGAAAUAGGUUUUGAUUUGACUUAUAAAACAUUUGAAGAUCAAAAAAAAGAGAAAAAAAACACAUGGGAUAAUCAUAUAGAAUCCUUAUGUUUAAUAGUGAAAAGAGGAUUAUCGGACCCAUGUUACAACAUAUUUAUCAAAAGUGUCAUUAUACUUGAAAAGAUGUUGAAUACAUAUCAAACACAUUUUUCAAAAGUAUAUAAUACUAACAAUGGUCAUGAAGGUGGUGAUCAUGGAGAUGGUGGUCAUGGAGAUGGUGGUCAUGGAGAUGGUAGUCAUGGAGAUAGUGGUCAUGGAGAUGGUGGCGAUGGAGAUGGUAGUGGUGGAGAUGACGAUGAUAACAGUACUCGUAAUAAAAACAGAAAAGGUAUAAAAUGUAUAAUUUUUGCACUUUUGAAACACUUAGGUAAUUCCAAUCUUGAUAUAGUAGAUAUUUCUAUCAAAGCAAUAAUGAUGAUGUUGCAUAACAAUUUUACUUCCUUUAAACAUAUAUUUUCCAUUAUAUUAUCAAUGCUGUUUUUCUUUUUUUCUGGUGAUGUUUCAUUAAAAAUAAAUGAAAAAAUAAUUGUUGGUUUAAUGAGUUUUUACUAUUCUUUAAUAAAUAAAUAUUACACAACAGUGAAAAACUAUAUUAAUUUAAAAAAGGUUCUCGAAGUUAUAUUUCUGUUUUUAGAAGUUGA
rnacentral:lncRNA from 1 species